rnacentral:rRNA from 1 species
GACGAACGCUGGCGGCGUGCCUAACACAUGCAAGUCGAACGGGGUGUCGGGAGCUUGCUUCUGACACUUAGUGGCGAACGGGUGAGUAACGCGUGAGGAACCUGCCUUUCAGUGGGGGACAACAGUUGGAAACGACUGCUAAUACCGCAUAACGUAUUUGGACCGCAUGAUCUGAAUACCAAAGCUUUAUGUGCUGAAAGAUGGCCUCGCGUCUGAUUAGCUAGUUGGUGGGGUAACGGCCCACCAAGGCGACGAUCAGUAGCCGGUCUGAGAGGAUGAACGGCCACAUUGGGACUGAGAUACGGCCCAGACUCCUACGGGAGGCAGCAGUGGGGAAUAUUGGGCAAUGGGGGAAACCCUGACCCAGCAACGCCGCGUGAAGGAAGAA